rnacentral:rRNA from 1 species
AUUGAACGCUGGUGGCAGGCCUAACACAUGCAAGUCGAGCGGAUGAAGGGAGCUUGCUCCUGGAUUCAGCGGCGGACGGGUGAGUAAUGCCUAGGAAUCUGCCUGGUAGUGGGGGAUAACGUCCGGAAACGGGCGCUAAUACCGCAUACGUCCUGAGGGAGAAAGUGGGGGAUCUUCGGACCUCACGCUAUCAGAUGAGCCUAGGUCGGAUUAGCUAGUUGGUGGGGUAAAGGCCUACCAAGGCGACGAUCCGUAACUGGUCUGAGAGGAUGAUCAGUCACACUGGAACUGAGACACGGGCCAGACUCCUACGGGAGGCAGCAGGGGGGAAUAUUGGACAAAGGGCGGAAGCCUGAUCCAGCCAAGCCGCGUGUGUGGAGAAGGUCUUCGGAUUGUAAAGCACUUUAAGUUGGGAGGAAGGGCAGUAAGUUAAUACCUUGCUGGUUUGACGUUACCAACAGAAUAAGCACCGGCUAACUUCGUG